rnacentral:rRNA from 1 species
CCUACGGGAGGCAGCAGUGAGGAAUAUUGGUCAAUGGACGAGAGUCUGAACCAGCCAAGUAGCGUGAAGGAUGACUGCCCUAUGGGUUGUAAACUUCUUUUAUAUGGGAAUAAAACGUUCCACGUGUGGGAUUUUGUAUGUACCAUAUGAAUAAGGAUCGGCUAACUCCGUGCCAGCAGCCGCGGUAAUACGGAGGAUCCGAGCGUUAUCCGGAUUUAUUGGGUUUAAAGGGAGCGUAGGUGGAUUGUUAAGUCAGUUGUGAAAGUUUGCGGCUCAACCGUAAAAUUGCAUUUGAAACUGGCAGUCUUGAGUACAGUAGAGGUGGGCGGAAUUCGUGGUGUAGCGGUGAAAUGCUUAGAUAUCACGAAGAACUCCGAUUGCGAAGGCAGUUCACUGGACUGCAACUGACACUGAGGCUCGAAAGUGUGGGUAUCAAACAGGAUUAGAUACCCCUGUAGUC